rfam:Ruminococcus sp. CAG:353 genomic scaffold, scf154
GCCUUAUCAAGAGCGGCGGAGGUACUGGACCUGUGAAGCCCGGCAACCUGAUUGUUUAUCCUUUGGGAUAUAACGAAAAAGGUGCUAAUUCCUGCGGAGAAUUCCGAGAGAUGAGGA